CAGAUAUCAGUUGCAACUCAAUCAUCGCCAGAGAGAUCUGUAUCGUCGGUAGCACCUGCUGCAUCAGAUACAACUCUACCAUCUUCAGAAAGAUCUGUAGCUUCGGUGGCACCUGCUGCAUCAGUUACAAUUCGAUCAUCUCCAGAGAGAUCUGUGUCUUCGGUGGCACCUGCUGCAUUAGUUCCAAUUCGAUCAUCGCCAGAGAGAUCUGUAUCUUCGAUAGUGCCUGCUGCAUCAGUUCCAACUCAAUUAUCGGCGGAGAGAUCUGU
rnacentral:lncRNA from 1 species